rnacentral:rRNA from 1 species
AGUGAACGCUGGCGGUAGGCCUAACACAUGCAAGUCGAACGGCAGCACAGUAAGAGCUUGCUCUUACGGGUGGCGAGUGGCGGACGGGUGAGGAAUGCAUCGGAUUCUACUUUUUCGUGGGGGAUAACGUAGGGAAACUUACGCUAAUCCCGCAUACGUCCUACGGGUGAAAGCAGGGGAUCUUCGGACCUUGCGCGAUUGAAUGAGCCGAUGUCGGAUUAGCUAGUUGGCGGGGUAAAGGCCCACCAAGGCGACGAUCCGUAGCUGGUCUGAGAGGAUGAUCAGCCACACUGGAACUGAGACACGGUCCAGACUCCUACGGGAGGCAGCAGUGGGGAAUAUUGGACAAUGGGCGCAAGCCUGAUCCAGCCAUACCGCGUGAGUGAAGAAGGCCUUCGGGUUGUAAAGCCCUUUUGUUGGGAAAGAAAAGCAGCAGGUUAAUACCCCGCUGUUCUGACGGUACCCAAAGAAUAAGCACCGGCUAACUUCGUG